GGCGGUGCGCCGGGCCCCGCGUCCCCCAUCUGCCGUCCCGAGCAGGGAAAGCAGCGUCCCCCCAGCCACCGGCACCGCCGGCAGCGUUUAACCUGCGCUGCUGAGCAAGGUCAAGGGGAGCUGCCUGGGGAACAAACCCCGACCUCGUGGCUCUGCUGCUCUUCAGAUCUCUGCUGUGCUCGGAGCUGUCUGGGAUUCUUUCACCACAAAUACCACAUCAACAGCACGUAUUUACUACUCCAACCCGCUUGCACUUCCGAGGUACUAUGUACACCUGCUUACAUCCGUAACAAAACGAGCUCAAAACACAAGCUGCAAGUAAAAAAACAGACGUUCUAUUGCUGUUUUGAGACCCUCAUAUCCAUGUGAAGCACUGGCCACAGAUAGCUGUAGACCCUGGCAGUCUAAGAAUUUGAGUCAUAACUACUAUACUUGAAGAAAAAAUUAAAAAAAAAAAAAAUAGAUUAUGCAGUGGAUGAAGAAGAACCAGACCACUGCCACAGUGAACUGGUGAACUGGUUACAACUCCACAUGCAGAAUUCCUGAUGUGCUCAGAAACUUUUUACAACAAAAGGAACAUAUUCUUUUUCCAGUACAGUAAACAUUGAAUACAAUUGAUCGUAUUUCAAGGAGAUCUACAUAACUCAUUGUCACUUACUUCUGCAAGUUACUCAGCCUUUCAUCCCCAUCCAUCUAAAAAAAAAAAAAAAGGCAAUCCUAUACAAAACUGAAGGAUUUCAGACAAAAUCCUAUUUGUUUUUUUUUAACGAAGAAUUACUCUCACCUUGUUUUUACAGGCAAAACCACGACAAACUGAAAGAAAAAUAAUCAACUUUGGAUUUCAAAGUGUCUGUCAGUAGCUAUGUGUUCUGUACUUCCAACCAAGGCUUUCUUGACAGCACAAUUAUUACAAUUGAGAUUGCCAAAAGUCUGAUAUGGUUUGGACUUCCCAGGCUUGGUUACUGGUAGAGACCAGACACAGCUUUCAAAGUUCCUACAUUAUCCUUUAUGUUAAUUGCAUUGUCAUUUCAGUAUGAUUCUGGUAAGCAUCGCUACAAAUCCAUCACAAUAAAUUCUGGGAACAAGGAGAGAACAAGAUCAUCAAUAUUUAGAAAACAGAGAAGGUGAGAUGAAAAACAACAUCCUAGAGAAUUACUAUAAUCUGGUGCUUGCCUUCUUUGAUGUUCCUAGUGUAAGAAUAUUUUUUGCAGCAGAAAAAAUGAAAACUCCCAUUUAACUUUCAGCAUCAGAUUUUUGAUGUACAACUACAAAAAAAAAAAAUUAAGUCAUCUGUGAAGUUAGUUUGGUAAAAAUAAUUUUGAAUUUAUGGCAUAUUUCUAGAGUAUUGCAGUAUUCUUGGGUAUUGUAGGUAGAGUUGGGUAUUUAGCCCAACUCUUCAUCACCUUCCGCAAAACAAAAAUGUAUAAUAACUGGACAGCUUUUUUAAUCCAGCCUAUGUGUUAAUUAAUCCCAUAUGCAAUUCAAUUGAAAUUAAUAGAAAAGUCUCAUUGUUCUCCUGAGCACUGCUUAGCCUGGUCUCCAAGUCCUAAGAUUAUAAAUACUGUGAACAAUAACCACUUUGGUAGGUGAGGCAUUCUCAAGGAAGAAUUACAAGAACUCCUCUGAAUGAUACAAGGAGUAGUAACGAAGAAGAUAUUUCCAGCAGUCAAUGUGUUGACACAGGUGGUGUUUGUUGUGCCAUAAGCAGUAAGAGGCUACUGCAGAGACAGGGAUUUAUGUUCCCUCAUUAUGACACCCACAUUAAGGUUAGAAAAGUCUAAUAGAAAUCUGGAAAAAGACAGUACAGUGUUCUGUAGCACUCAGUCAUCCCUUGAAACCUCAAGGCUUUAAAUCUUCACGUUAAUUUCUUUUUUAUAUUAUCAGACUAGAAUGCUAAUACUUCUGUUUCAUCUGCAAGCAUGUGCAAGACAGAACCUUAGAUGUGCAAACUAUUAUUGGUGGUAGAAAUCCCAUCUUUGCUGCAAGCAGUUUAGGUCCCCAGAUAACCAGGACUAGCCAAUUAAAAAAAAAAUAAUAAUUCUCCCUACAUAUCAGACAAUAUGUUUUUCUAAGGGUUGAUAUAUGCAAUACAAAUAGAAAGAAAAGUUGUUUUCUAUAUGUAAUUCUGUUAGCUAAGACAACUUCCAUGGGGUGUUUUGCCAGCAAGUUAUUCUCACAAAUCAAACUAAUCCCUAAGUGUUAGCAGUGAGACUAGAGACAGAAGUAAAACAUGAGGUAAUGGUGUUUAAAAAUAAGUUGUUAAACAACUCAACUUCAGACAACUCUGUUCUUUCCUGUGUCUGCUGGUCUCCUAGUAAUGGCUCAAAUACUGGAAAAUAUGUGAUAAUGUAAACUGGUAUGAAGGAGCACACGUGGAAAUUAAUUUGUCUUUAUUUGGGGUCCACAUCACUUCUUCCAAUACUUAAACUAGCUUUUAUUUAACCAGUAGAGAACAUGCAGAAGUAGAGGAUGUAAACUUCAAGAAUUCUUUUCUAAAAUGGCACUUAACAUGAAAUACAAUCCUGCAGGUUAAUGUUACAUGAAAUACCUUUUAAUCAGAUGAGUCUGAGUGAUCCUAGAGAUGACUGUGAUGACACAAUGCACAAGAGAACCCAGACUUUCCCUCAUUUUAUUGCCAGCAUUGACCACACUUGUGAUACUUGGUGCAAACUGAAAGGCGUUUAGGUAUGUCUGCCAAUUAAUAAAAGUAAAAAGAAAACCCCACACCCAGCACAAAGAGUUUCACAGAAAAAUUACCUUCCAAAGAAGAACCUCAGAGGGCUGUCUUACAGAAUAAGAAAGAGCAUAGGCCUAAAAGGAAAAUGGCAUGAGUUUUGUUAUGUACAUGCCACACAAACUGAUUUAUAUCUGGCAUCCCACUAUUAUUAAUGGCCUGUGGAAUUAACUAAGACUUCAGUGAAGAUAAUAAGCAUGAUUUCUUUCAAGCUAAAGGGAAUACUUAGGAACUGUUUCACUUUUGGCUGAAUUUUGUGACCAGCAGUAAUUCAGAGAGAGGCUACACAGUAUCCUCAUUCACAAACACCAGCUCCUGUGGCACUUCUGAAGGCUCAGGGCAGAUGUCAUGUGAUCUCUGCACGUACAUACAUAAAAUACCUCUGAGAACCUGUUAAGUGUUUCAUGUAUAUUACAGAUGACAGGUCAGGCACCACAUCUAAUUUCUCUGGUUUGAAAGUUUUGUUGACACAGGGAAAACGCACAAACCUCCCUGCAGCCUGCUCAGCCCUGCCAUCUCCUUCCCACAUCUGAGCAUCACUGAGAGCACUCAACACCUCAAACCACUUGGCCAAUGAAGACACUCCUGCACUUAAGUCACUGAGGAUGUAUUUCUAAUCAGCUUGUACAGCCUUCAUCUAAAGCCUCUGACUAGGCUAAGAGAUACUGCAAUUCAUUAAAGCACUAUUAAAUGAAAUUAAAAUGCACUGCAGGGAAAGCUGACAAUGUCUUACUGCAGCUUCUGUGGUGCAGUGUUCCAAAGAGAACAGCUUCCUAAGCAAUAAAACCAUUGGACACAUUCUGUCAGAUUGUUAUUUAUCACAGAGGUGAAUGACCUUGGACUGACAGAGAAUUGGCAAAGGCAGCACAGAAACAACCUCCUGUGAAAGAAUAAAGAAAGACAGAACAGUCUCUUACCACCUUAAAAGAAUCUGAGGGAGAAAAUGGAACUGAAAACGUUUCCUUUGUAAAAAUGGAAGCUUGGUAACAAUGGACAUCGCGCUCCUGGGGAAAAUGUGUCUCAGCCCUUGGAGAAUUGGCAGUCACUGCUCACAGGACAUAAAAAUGGGAUAAUUAUCACUCCCAGCUCAGCCUCCAGAGCAGGGCUGACACACAGAGCUCUCUCCAUCCCCUCACGGUGGGGUCCUUGCUGGAAGGAUCACAGCUUGGGUCAGGCCUUAAGGUAGAGUCUUGGAGAUCCAUUCAGGGUACAAAAAGGUUGGCAGCCCUCCUAAAAAAAAAAAAAAAAAAAUGAAAGAGCAUUUGCAUUUAUGAAAAAACCCCCACUUUUUUUUCUUCCAAACCCUCUUUUCCUACAUCAGGGCAGUAGACAGAAGGUGGCACAGAUUUGUAGCUGGCACCUGGGUGCAUUCCUGUAACCAGACCAGUUACUGUACUUUCCAUUUCCAGCGGUUGUUUUUAGGGUAGAAGAAGAUAUUUUGGGGGGGAACACAAUGGGCCCAACACCAUGGCAGCAAGUCCAGGAUCUCUGCAACUUUCAGUUGUGAAUGAGCAGGAAACCCAAGAGACAAAGUCAGGAUUUUUUCAUAUCCCGAAGGUGGAGAAGGGGAAAUUCAGAGCUGACAAAAGCAUACCGUAUUGGGGUGCACAGCUGCAGGGAGAGCUCUCCCUUGCUGCUCAGGGGGUGCUAUGGGCAUUCAUUGAUUGUGUGUUAGAACAGCAAAGUCUCUAGAAGGCAGCUGGCUAGAAAUGCCAUUCCUUCCACCCAGUGUUCUAAAGCUCUGGGCUACAGGAUGCAACAAAGUUAUCAAGAAUAGCUCCAUUACAUAAGGCAGAUGCAACACCAGGGGUUUCCCUUGGAGUCCCUAGGGAUCACUUUCUCUGGGGCUCCUUCCUCCACACUGGUGGUCUCCUCACACACUUUCCCCACCCCAGCACGGGAGGCUGAGCCCACUGGAGCGUGUCCAUCCUUCCUAGAGUCCCUUUUGGCACCUGCACAUCCCCACACAGCUCCUUUGGAUGCUGCUGUCCCCUGAAUUGACACAGACCAUGCUGUGUUUGCCUGCUGCCCAUUUGAGGCAAAGAAAGAGGAAGAGUUCAUCAGGGCUCGACCUGAAAUGAUGUUUAGAUGCUUCUGGUUCCUCUCACAGCUUUGGCAGUGGAGCAACAUUGCUGUCCCUGCCACCCACUUGCCCUUGGAAUGCACACACAGGCUGCGUGUCACUUCAGGUGACCCCAAGUGGCCCCAUCAGUGCGAAAGGGCAGCUGCUGUUUCACUGUUGCAGUUCUUGGCUGGUUAAAGCCCCUCCUGCCUGUACUACAGCCUGUGCUUGUGUCUUGGUUUGGAAAGACAGGUGCCUGCUAAGGAAGGCAGGAGCUUCCCCUGAAAUUGAGAAUGUGAACCCAUCUCCCCCCAAAUUGCUAUCAAAUUUAAAUUAAGGGGUUCUCAGGCAACAAAUAUGGGAGCAGGAAAUAACAAUUAUUUAAUAGGGAAGAAAAUAAAAGGAUAAAAUAAACAAUGUAGUAAACUAAAACAACACUGACAGUCAACAUACAACCUGACACCCUGUUGGUCAGGAUGCUGGUAGCAUCCAGCUGGACUGUGGCUGCAGCCAGCCUGGAGUGUUAGGUGUGGUUCUGUUGGAGCAGGGAUCCUGUAGAAGGGUGUAGUCUUCCUCUGAAGAUCCAGUGGAAGAAGAGGCAGCUGCUGUUCCUCUGGGAGAUCCAGUGGAGAAGCUGUGCUGGUAUUCCAGAAAUUCCAGAUUAUGUCUGGAUAGAAUGCUUGGCUCCUCCCUCUGGGCGGAGCAUCUUCCAAUGGGAUGCUGUAAUUCUUAUCAGUCAUGCAAUGAUAUUCAAUGGCCUGUUAUCAGCAGAUGUGUCCCCCAAGGGAGGAGUGGUUGUGGAAGAGAUAAGGACAAUUGCUCACUUAACAGAAGACAACUGCCAUACAGAUGGCAAAUGGAAUAUAUCUUGCCACGCAAUCUGGGAGAGCUUGAAGACACAAAAUACCAUCCUGGAGUAAAGGCAUAGAACACUUGACAAAGCCUGAAGGGAACACUCUGAUUACCCCUUUUCCCACCAUAUUUCUUUAGUUGAGGUUGCUAACAAGGACCACUCUUGAAACCCUGGAAUGGGUUUUUUGUUGUUUUAUUUUUUGGGUCCUCACUCCUGUGUGGGACUCUACACAGGGUGCUGCAGAGGCCCCAGCAGGCAUCAAAGACACUUGUCCUACACCCAAAGGUGGCACAAGUUCUCCUCCAGCGCUGGCCUGUCCGCAGGAUGCUUAGACAAAGUGAGAAACAAUGCUCACUUUGAAAUUUAAAAAGGUUUAUUAAACCUUGCAAAAGUACAACAAAAGGACUACAUAAGGAAAACAAUUUGUAGCACUGGGAACUGCCCAUUGUGCACACCACAUGGCCGGAUCAUCUUCAAGAUGGAUGCUCAGUCUUUUAUACCCCUGAGGGUUGUAUCAACCAGCCCCGGUCCCUCCCAAAGUCUGUCAGUCAGCUCUUCUUUGUCAUUUAUUGGUGGAGACUUCUUUCUUGUACCUUGAUUGUGUUAGGAAAAUUAAUCCGCAAACACCAGAGGUGGUUUUGGUUUAUGUCCAAAAAGGAGACAGAGGAGUCCUUUUUGACUUUAUUCGAAUAAAAGGAGAGGCCAUGGGGCAUUCCCCUGGGAUCUCUCAAAUUUUUGGAGGACGCAGCCUCCUUUUCAUCCCAAUUUCCUGGCUGCAUUUCCCUUCUCUCUUCCCCAUUGGCUUAGGUACUUGACAGAUACAGACUUCCCAAUACGCCUGAUACCGAAGAAUUCCCUCUAAUGUAUAACUUUAUUUAUCCCUUUAAUUUUUAAUUCUUACAGAAUUUAGGGGUUUUUUUCUUCCCCAUUGUUUCUUUCAUCUUUCAAUGUCUAAUUUCAUUUAUCAGCAAACCUAAAGUUUAUUUGUAAAAGCAAAUGUCUUUUUCCAUUCAUCAAUCAGUGGAAUACUUCCCAUUGUUUCUUUUAUCUCCCAGUGUAGUUCUAUCUAUCAGCAGACCUACAGCUUGUUUGUAAAGACAAAUCCACUAUUCCUCAAUUGGAGGUCAGGUGUUGCUAUGCUGCACUCCCUAAGUGACAAGCUUUUCCAUUCCCAACUGUCCCAAGUAAGGGACACAUGUGCACACUUUCUUUUUACCUGUCCUAGACAACUUUGGCUGUCUGAUGGCAACAAUACAGAAGGGGGAAAAGGGAACUGUUAUAUGUAUUAUGGUAAUUCGUGCUGGUAGAGAAUAUAUAUAGAUGUGUGAAAUAUGUCUAAAAUAUAAAAUCCUAAAACAAACUAGCCGGGAAAGGGAUUUGCUUCAGGGUGACAAAACCACAGCUGGCAGCCAAGAAGGAGGUAUGCAAUUAGCAUACGGAGAGAACCUAGGCCGGCACAGGAGAUGGUUGUCCUCACUGGUAUGACCAGAUGAACACCAUGAAGAUGUUCAUCUCAAAUAAAUGGAGCCAUCAGAGACAUACACUUGAAUACUGGAUUCCAGUAACCUUAGAAUGAACACACAUCAGUUCCCGGACAAGAGUUUUGUCCAGCUCAGGACAGAGAACGGAAGCAACAUGAAUAUGAAGAACCCUGAAAGGAGACAAAGAGACUCUGCUGCAGGCUAGAAAAAGGGUAUAAGAACAGACUCUGCCAAGCUGCAUUUGUGAACUGUGGGGGAUUUGAUGUGAUACAGGCCGAGUCUGUGUUCACCCAGCUCCAAUCCCAGGGUCGGUGCUGUUCCUCGAUUGUUGGCUGUCGGGACUGUGUAUUCGUCGCAAAAUAAAUUAAUUUUUAUUUUUAUUAAA